UCUCAAAAAAACAAUCUCAGUUCAGACUGCAGGCUGCAACUCGCCUGCACGAAGUCGGAAUUGCUAGUAAUCGUAGGUCAGCAUACUACGGUGAAUACGUUCCCGGGCCUUGUACACACCGCCCGUCAAACCAUGAGAGUUGGCAACACCCGAAGUCGGUAGUCUAACCGCAAGGAGGACGCCGCCGAAGGUGGGGUUGAUGAUUAGGGUUAAGUCGUAACAAGGUACC
rnacentral:rRNA from 1 species